CCGAUUAAAUAUAUAGUUCGUGUAACAUUAAUAAUUUUUAUUUUAUCGACCUCAGAGCAGGUGAGACUACC
rnacentral:rRNA from 1 species